UGGCGGACGGGUGAGUAAUGUCUGGGAAACUGCCUGAUGGAGGGGGAUAACUACUGGAAACGGUAGCUAAUACCGCAUAACGUCGCAAGACCAAAGAGGGGGACCUUCGGGCCUCUUGCCAUCAGAUGUGCCCAGAUGGGAUUAGCUAGUAGGUGGGGUAACGGCCCACCUAGGCGACGAUCCCUAGCUGGUCUGAGAGGAUGACCAGCCACACUGGAACUGAGACACGGUCCAGACUCCUACGGGAGGCAGCAUG
rnacentral:rRNA from 1 species